rnacentral:rRNA from 1 species
AUGCAUUUCUAUUUUUGCAUCCCUUAUAUUAAGGGUCUGUUCCACAAUUCAUCUCUGAAGAAAUGCAGCAUCGUCCAUUUUCUCAAGGACAUAUCCUAUUAUGGUCUCAAAUAUAAUCAGUAUCAUCUGAACCAACAGGUGUGUUCUUCAGAAAAAAAGAUGUGUUCUUAUUAUGGUCUGAAGAACAAUUUUGGAUGUUUUUUUUGUUGUUGGUUCUCAUAUCCAACCUGUCUGUGGCAGAGUUCAAAGAGGAAUUUCAUAGGAAUUCUAGAGGAAAUGAUUUUUAUAGGAUUUUUUCCUUUAGAGCCCUUUGGUUCAUAG